AUUUGAAGGACCAGAAGUUCACUGGAUUUCCAAAUAUGAGGUAAGUUUAUCUAAUACUCUAAUUUCAGUGAGGUCCUGAUCCAUUCUGACAGAGAGAACGCUGGAAUUCAUUCUCCUUAAAAAACAAGCAAACAAACAACAACAGGGGAGUGGGAAAGAUCUUCAUUCAUGACUGACUGAGACUGGGAGAGUCCUCCCUUGACUGCAGCAGGAUGAGAACUACGUGACCUUUUGAGAUGGACAAAUAAAAGAUACUGAAGGAAAUCAUGAAUGCAGCACAGGAAAGGAACUGGGAGUUGCAAAGAGCACUGCAAGUUAUCCUUUGCAAUACACACAGUUAAACUGUGAGAAGAAAAUUUCCAAUUUAUAUGUACUUUUGCCUCCAGUAUUAAAAAAUGAAAUAAACAGCGAAUAUUAAACACCUCAUGGUAACAAUUGCCUGGCAUACUUCACUAUGACUGUUACCUCUGUAAGAAGGGCACGUCUUGACUUCAUUUUGUCUUCUAACAUUGCCUUUCUUUUCUAAAGUAGUCUUUAAACAUUUUUUACCUAAACUAUACAAAGCAAAGAAGAAAAAGCUGUAGUAAUGCACUGCUGAAUAAAAAG
rnacentral:lncRNA from 1 species